rnacentral:rRNA from 1 species
CUAUACAUGCAGUCGAGCGAAUGACGAGAAGCUUGCUUCUCUGAUUUAGCGGCGGACGGGUGAGUAACACGUGGGCAACCUGCCCUACAGAUCGGGAUAACUCAGGGAAACCUGGGCUAAUACCGGAUAAUCCUUCGAAUCACAUGUUUUGAAGUUGAAAGGCGCUUCGGCGUCACUGUAGGAUGGGCCCGCGGUGCAUUAGCUAGUUGGUGGGGUAACGGCCUACCAAGGCAACGAUGCAUAGCCGACCUGAGAGGGUGAUCGGCCACAUUGGGACUGAGACACGGCCCAAACUCCUACGGGAGGCAGCAGUAGGGAAUCUUCCACAAUGGACGAAAGUCUGAUGGAGCAACGCCGCGUGAGUGAUGAAGGUUUUCGGAUCGUAAAACUCUGUUGUAAGGGAAGAAUAAGUACGUUAGGAAAUGAACGUACCUUGACGGUACCUUAUUAGAAAGCCACGGCUAACUACGUGCCAGCAGCCGCGGUAAUACGUAGGUGGCAAGCGUUGUCCGGAUUUAUUGGGCGUAAAGCGCGCGCAGGUGGUUUCUUAAGUCUGAUGUGAAAGCCCACGGCUCAACCGUGGAGGGUCAUUGGAAACUGGGGAACUUGAGUGCAGAAGAGGAUAGUGGAAUUCCAAGUGUAGCGGUGAAAUGCGUAGAGAUUUGGAGGAACACCAGUGGCGAAGGCGACUGUCUGGUCUGUAACUGACACUGAGGCGCGAAAGCGUGGGGAGCAAACAGGAUUAGAUACCCUGGUAGUCCACGCCGUAAACGAUGAGUGCUAAGUGUUA